rnacentral:misc_RNA from 1 species
GCAAACUUGGUCAUUUAGAGGAAGUAAAAGUCGUAACAAGGUCUCCGUAGGUGAACCUGCGGAGGGAUCAUUCGUGAAGCAGGCGCUCCGUCGCCCUUCCCUACCCUUCAACCACGUGGUCUUAUGCCAUUGCCUCGGGGGGGUCGAGGCGGCCUCGGCCGUCGGGGCCCCGCGCUGGGCCCCGCCCCCCCGCGUGCCCUUGAUAUAAAGUCUUUGGAGUGAUAUUUGCGUCUGAUCAGUCCGGUGGACGUAAUGAAAACAAAACUUUCAACAACGGAUCUCUUGGCUCUCGCAUCGAUGAAGAACGCAGC